GCAUAAAAUUGCCCAUUUAAAAGAAAAUUUUUAAAUAACAUUUGUUAAAUCAACACUGAUCUUUUGGAUCACAUAGGUUCUAAUACUAUUUUAUUUCUGAAUUCAAAUGGCUAAGAAUCAAAGGGCAAUAAUCCUAAGAAAAAAAAGCUUUUGAAUGGAAUUUGAGAGAAAAGGAGAAAUCAAGGAACUGAUAGAUUGUUCUGAGGGUAGGAAGCCAGUUAUGAUUAGAUGCUUAAGAUCUCCAGAUUGGGAGUUUGUCAAUAGUGUUUUAAAAGAAGACAGAGAAAUUCAUAGGAAGAGCAUUCACUUCUACAUGUGAAAUUCAGGAGAAGCCUACUCUUCCCUCUAUGUGUGCAUGCAUAUGUAAAUGUAUAUGCACAGUGCAUAUGUAAUAUGUAUCAGAAUUAACAUUCAUUCAGUUCUCACUAUGCCUCAGGUUCUGUUAACCUCUAUGUAUGUGUUUUCCUAUUUAGUUCCCAUGACUGCCCUAUGGUAUAGCUACUUUUAUUAUCUUCAUUUUACAGUACAGUCAAGCAGGUAAGAAAUAAGGUCAAUGUCACACAGCUAGUAAGUGGCAACAUUUGGAUUGUGUACGUGUGUGUGUGUGUGUGUGUGUGUGAACAUGUAUUUCCAAUAUUUUGGCCUCUUAAAUCCUUAACAUCAUAUCAAAUUGGGAGAAUUCACCUGAGAUGUUCUCAAAGGGAGUAAGAUAUGGGCUCAAGAAAAAUAAGGAUUCCAGUGCAAGUGAAACAUCAAGGAACAACCAGUGGUAUCCGGAAGGCUUCUCAUAUCAGUGUCUAAGCAGAGGGUUAACACGUGGUCACGGGAGGAACGAGACAGAAAAGAAAGCCAGGGGCCCAGGAGGAGCUGGAAAUGAGGAAAGUUUGGUGAUAAACUAAAAUCAACUCCACCUCUGUUAACAAUCAUGUUAACUCCAUGCGAGACAAAGGUAAGGAGGAGGACAGAGUUUGGUGUAGGCCCCGGCCUUACUUAGGAUGAGGAACUUGGGUAGUAAACUGGACUUACCUUCUUAUAGCUUUCUUCUAUAAUUAU
rnacentral:lncRNA from 13 species